CUUAGAAUUAAAUAUUAAUUAAAUCGGAUUCAUGGGAUUGGUAAAACAUAAAAGUAAUCGAUUUCCUAAAACCUCAAUUUUAAGCUUGGCUCUGACUUAAUAGUAUAAUAAAGACUAAAAAAUACACAUGGUUUUUAUUGAAAGAGGCGAGGUAAAAAGAAGUUAGACAUCUAUAUAAAAUAUAAAAUAACUUUUUUUUAUGAUAUUAUUACUAUAUGAUGUCUCGAGAAGUCCCGCUAACACCAGUGUUUAAGGUUAAAAUAAAAGUGAGAACUUGUAUUAAUUUAGUUAUUAGAUCUGGUUAACUUGGUGCCAGCAUCCGCGGUUAUACCAAGAGAUCAAGUUAUACAUAUCAAGGUAAAAAGGCAGUUAAAUAACAAUAUGCAUUAACUUAUUAAUUUUUUGUUUAAAGGUAAAAUUUACAUACAAAUAAAUAAUCCAAUGUAAGUUAUAAUACAUUGACUCUGCGAUAGCCUUGAGGGAAACUGGGAUUAGAUACCCCAUUAUUCUUGGCUGUAAAUCGAUAAAAUCUACCGGAGUACUAUGAAUCGUUCAAAAAGUUUAAAACUCAAAGGGCUUGGCGGUGUUUUAGACCUUUCAGGGGAACCUGUCUCAUAAUCGACAAUCCACGCUAUACCUAACCUUCUUUUGCAAAACAGUUUGUAUACCGUCGUCGUCAGGUAACUUUUAAAAAACUAGAAGUUGGCAACAAAAUUAUAAUAAAUUUAAACGUCAGAUCAAGGUGCAGCCUAUAUGAAGGUGAGGAUGGGUUACAAUUAACAUUUAUAAUUACGAACAAAGUAAUGAAAUAUAUACUUUAAUGAAGGAGGACUUGGAAGUAAAGAUAUUUAUACAGAUAGUUUGAAUUAGGCUCUGAAGCAUGCACACAUCGCCCGUCGCUCUCGUUGAAAAACGAGAUAAGUCGUAACAUAGUAGGGGUAAUGGAAAUUGUUCCUGGAUG
rnacentral:rRNA from 1 species